AACCAAGAUGCUAGGAACACCACCACCUUUUGAAGGCUCCAGUGAGGCCUUGUUUCUUCCAUUUUCUGGGGAUGUCAGUAUUUCUUCACUCCUACUAACAACAUUUCAAUUUUGCCUCCCUUUUUUCCUGCGGUCACAGAUCCUUCUAGAUUCCUGCAAGGACACUUUUUUUAGGGAUAAUUACACUUUUUUUAGGGAUAAUUUUAGGGAUAAUUACAGGUUAAUCUUCCCCUCUUGCCAUUCAUGCUUAUGUGCCAUUUGUCCCUUUGAACAGAGAAGCAUUCAUAGGUUCCUGGGUUUAUGAUGUGGCUAUGGGGAAAAUCUGGGAAAGGUUUCUUAUCCUGCUUUAUUCAGUUUCCCACACAGCCAAAGACCCCAGAGAGCAAAAUGCUAAUUGAUUAAUUCAUGGGCAAAAAGUUCUAAGAUUAGUAUGUGUGAAGGAGAAUUGUCAUUUAUCAUUCAGAUUACCUCCCCUUACUUUGCAUAAAUACCUUUUAAAAAACUCGGCAUGAAAAUUCUCCUAUUCCAGUAAAUCAUCUGGGUUAUCACAUCAAACCUUUAUAUGUUUUAAAUAUCCUUCCUCUCAUAGUUAAACAUGUUACGAUAGGAAAAAUAACCAACCUGUGAAAACUGCAAUAGCACCGCUAAAAUGAUGCUCGUGCCAUAUUACGUUUUCAAAAAGCAUUUGCUUCUUUAUCAUGAGUGAGUUCGUUCUCCAUGAUUGUCAGAUCUGCAAGUGAUAACUACUAAUUCACUAAGAAUAAUAAACAGAAUAUGCUCUUCUUAAUUAAAGGAACAAUCCUAAAA
rnacentral:lncRNA from 1 species